rnacentral:rRNA from 1 species
UAAUGAUUUAAUUACUUAAUGUUUUAAUUGUGUUUUAUAAAAAAUAUUUUUGUUUUUAGUAUUUAGAAUUAAAAUUAGGUUUUUAGUGAUAGUUUAUUUGUACCGUGAGGGGGUUUUGAAAUAUUUUGAAAAAAUUAAUUUUAGGAAAGUAUACUUUAUUUGUAUUACCUUUUGUAUCAGGGUUGAUCAACUUUAUUUAAUUUAUUUUGAAUUCUCGAUUUCAGAAGAGCUACUUUUAUUUGCUGUUGCAUAACCACUAAUAAUUUUUUAUUAGAGGAGAAAUUCUAUUCGUUUUUAUAGGUAUCUGGUUUUUUAAGAAAUAAAUUUAAUUUAGGUAAUACUUUUUAUUUAUUUAAUUUAAUAAAUAUAUAUUAAUUGUUGCUAAUCUAACAGGGGAUAAGCUCUGUUAGAAUUCUAUAACUUCAUUUUAAUUUAAUUGUUGUAGGGUUAAAAUCAUCCAUCUUAUAAUUACGUUAUAGUAUAUAUUAAUAUAUUAUUGAUUUAUUUUUGUUUAGAUUUUUAUUAAAAUAUAAUGAUUAAUUAUAAAUCAUUAGUAAUAAUGAUCAAAUUAGUAUAAUUUUAUGUUCAUCAUUUAUUAAAUGUUAUUAUUAAAUAAGGAACUCGGCAAAUAAGCGCUCGCCUGUUUAUCAAAAACAUGUCYUCUUGGUUUAUUWUAGGARGUCUGACCUGCCCAGUGAAGUAAUUUUUAACGGCCGCGGUAMUAUUGACCGUGCAAAGGUAGCAUAAUCAUUAGUCUUUUAAUAGGGGGCUGGAAUGAAAGGUUUAACGAAUCAUUAGCUGUCUCAUUUUUAUAAUUUAAAAUUUAAUUUUUAAGUUAAAAAGCUUAAAUGUUGUUGGAGGACGAGAAGACCCUAUAGAGCUUUAUAUUAAAUUUUUUAAUAAAAUGUUGAUUUAUGUCUUAAGUAUUAGAAUAAUUUAGUAUUGUGUUGGGGUGACAAAAAUAAAUAAUUAACUGUUUUAUUUUUUAAACAUAAAUUUAUGAGUUUUUGAUCCAUUAUUAUUGAUUAUUAGAUUAAGUUACCUUAGGGAUAACAGCGUAAUCUUUUUUUGGAGUUCAAAUUUACAAAAAGGCUUGCGACCUCGAUGUUGGAUUAAGAUUAUAAUUUGGUGCAGUAGCUAAAUUAAUAGGUCUGUUCGACCUUUAAAUUCUUACCU